AACGAACGCUGGCGGCAUGCCUAACACAUGCAAGUCGAACGAGACCUUCGGGUCUAGUGGCGCACGGGUGCGUAACGCAUGGGAACCUGCCCUUAGGUUCGGAAUAACUCCCCGAAAGGGGUGCUAAUACCGGAUAAUGUCUUCGGACCAAAGAUUUAUCGCCUUUGGAUGGGCCCGCGUUGGAUUAGCUAGUUGGUAGGGUAAAAGCCUACCAAGGCGACGAUCCAUAGCUGGUCUGAGAGGAUGAUCAGCCACACUGGGACUGAGACACGGCCCAGACUCCGACGGGAGGCAGCAGUGGGGAAUAUUGGACAAUGGGCGAAAGCCUGAUCCAGCAAUGCCGCGUGAGUGAUGAAGGCCGUAGGGUUGUAAAGCUCUUUUACCCGGGAUGAUAAUGACAGUACCGGGAGAAUAAGCUCCGGCUAACUCCGUG
rnacentral:rRNA from 1 species